GAUUAACGCUAGCGGCAGGCCUAAUACAUGCAAGUCGAACGGGAUUUCGGGUAGCAAUAUCUGAAUGAGAGUGGCGUACGGGUGCGUAACACGUAUGCAAUCUACCUCUGACUGGGGAAUAGCCUUCCGAAAGGAAGAUUAAUACCGCAUAAAAUAAUGAAGUGGCAUCACUUUAUUAUCAAAACUCUGGUGGUCAGAGAUGAGCAUGCGUCCGAUUAGCUAGUUGGCGGGGUAACGGCCCACCAAGGCGACGAUCGGUAGGGGUCGUGAGAGGA
rnacentral:rRNA from 1 species